GACGAACGCUGGCGGCGUGCCUAAUACAUGCAAGUAGAACGCUGAAGGAGGAGCUUGCUUCUCCGGAUGAGUUGCGAACGGGUGAGUAACGCGUAGGUAACCUGCCUGGUAGCGGGGGAUAACUAUUGGAAACGAUAGCUAAUACCGCAUAACAGUAGAUAUUGCAUGAUAUCUGCUUGAAAGGUGCAAAUGCAUCACUACCAGAUGGACCUGCGUUGUAUUAGCUAGUUGGUGGGGUAACGGCUCACCAAGGCGACGAUACAUAGCCGACCUGAGAGGGUGAUCGGCCACACUGGGACUGAGACACGGCCCAGACUCCUACGGGAGGCAGCAGUAGGGAAUCUUCGGCAAUGGACGGAAGUCUGACCGAGCAACGCCGCGUGAGUGAAGAAGGUUUUCGGAUCGUAAAGCUCUGUUGUAAGAGAAGAACGAGUGUGAGAGUGGAAAGUUCACACUGUGACGGUAUCUUACCAGAAAGGGACGGCUAACUACGUGCCAGCAGCCGCGGUAAUACGUAGGUCCCGAGCGUUGUCCGGAUUUAUUGGGCGUAAAGCGAGCGCAGGCGGUUAGAUAAGUCUGGAGUUAAAGGCUGUGGCUUAACCAUAGUACGCUUUGGAAACUGUUUAACUUGAGUGCAAGAGGGGAGAGUGGAAUUCCAUGUGUAGCGGUGAAAUGCGUAGAUAUAUGGAGGAACACCGGUGGCGAAAGCGGCUCUCUGGCUUGUAACUGACGCUGAGGCUCGAAAGCGUGGGGAGCAAACAGG
rnacentral:rRNA from 1 species